rnacentral:rRNA from 1 species
ACGUAGGGGGCAAGCGUUGUCCGGAAUUACUGGGCGUAAAGCGCACGAAGGCGGUUCGUUAAGUCGGAUGUGAAAGAUCGGGGAUCAACCCCGGUUUGCGUUCGAUAAUGGCGGACUGGAGUGUCGGAGAGGGAAGUGGAAUUCCCGGUGUAGCGGUGAAAGGCGUAGAUAUCGGGAGAAACACCAGUGGCGAAGGCGGCUUCCUGGCCGACAACUGACGCUCAUCUUCGAAAUCUGUGGAAGCAAACGA